rfam:Malassezia sympodialis ATCC 42132 genomic scaffold, msy_sf_3
AGUCCAAUAGUUUAAUGGUUAUGACGUAUCCUUCACAACGGCUUCCGUUCGGAUAAGAUCCCGGUUCAAUUCCGGGUUGGACUA